GACGAACGCUGGCGGCGUGCUUAACACAUGCCAGUCGAACGGAAAGGCCCUGCUUUUGUGGGGUGCUCGAGUGGCGAACGGGUGAGUAACACGUGAGUAACCUGCCCUUGACUUUGGGAUAACUUCAGGAAACUGGGGCUAAUACCGGAUAGGAGCUCCUGCUGCAUGGUGGGGGUUGGAAAGUUUCGGCGGUUGGGGAUGGACUCGCGGCUUAUCAGCUUGUUGGUGGGGUAGUGGCUUACCAAGGCUUUGACGGGUAGCCGGCCUGAGAGGGUGACCGGACACAUUGGGACUGAGAUACGGCCCAGACUCCUACGGGAGGCAGCAGUGGGGAAUAUUGCACAAUGGGCGGAAGCCUGAUGCAGCAACGCCGCGUGCGGGAUGACGGCCUUCGGGUUGUAAACCGCUUUCGCCUGUGACGAAGCGUGAGUGACGGUAAUGGGUAAAGAAGCACCGGCUAACUACGUG
rnacentral:rRNA from 1 species